rnacentral:rRNA from 1 species
UACGGGGGGAGCAAGCGUUGUUCGGAUUCACUGGGCGUAAAGGGUGCGUAGGUGGUUGGGUAAGUCUGAUGUGAAAUCUCCGGGCUCAACCCGGAAAUGGCAUUGGAUACUAUUCGGCUAGAGGUUUGGAGGGGGGACUGGAAUUCUCGGUGUAGCAGUGAAAUGCGUAGAUAUCGAGAGGAACACCAGUGGCGCAGGCGAGUCCCUGGACAACACCUGACACUGAGGCACGAAAGCUAGGGGAGCAAACAGG